GAAUAUUGGUCAAUGGACGCAAGUCUGAACCAGCCAUGCCGCGUGGAGGAUGAAGGUCCUCUGGAUUGUAAACUUCUUUUAUCUGGGAAGAAACCCACGUUUUCCAACGUGGUUGACGGUACCAGUUGAAUAAGCACCGGCUAACUCCGUGCCAGCAGCCGCGGUAAUACGGAGGGUGCAAGCGUUAUCCGGAUUCACUGGGUUUAAAGGGUGCGUAGGCGGGUUGGUAAGUCCGUGGUGAAAGCCCCAAGCUUAACUUGGGAAUUGCCGUGGAUACUAUCAAUCUUGAAUAUCGAGGAGGUAAGCGGAAUAUGUCAUGUAGCGGUGAAAUGCUUAGAUAUGACAUGGAACACCAAUUGCGUAGGCAGCUUACUACACGAUCAUUGACGCUGAGGCACGAAAGCGUGGGUAGCGAACAG
rnacentral:rRNA from 1 species